AGCUCUCAACUGCAACUAGUUGCAGCUUGGAUGUGGGGUUUUUGCAGGCUUCAAAUAAUGAUGUCCGCUCCCCUGAAACAUAUUAGUGGUCUCUGAGCAGAGAAAACGGUGUGAUAACUAUCUAUGCCUUAGUACUUUGCAUGAGCUGCUUCUAACACAACAUGAUUUUAUG
rnacentral:misc_RNA from 1 species